rnacentral:lncRNA from 10 species
AACAAAGCACAGUUCUUGGCAUACAAUACAGGAUAGAUGGUCUGUUGAUUGAGUGAAUGAAUAAAACAAUGAGCAAGUAAAAAAUGAAAUUACUUUUUCCCACUGAAGAGAAAGAGAAACGCUUGUUGGGAAGGAGAAAUGAAGACUAUUUUUUUUUUUUUUUGAGACGGAGUCUCCCUCUGUCGCCCAGGCUGGAGUGCAGUGGCAUGAUCUCGGCUCACUGCAAGCUCCGCCUCCCGGGUUCACGCCAUUCUCCUGCCUCAGCCUCCAGAGUAGCUGGGACUACAGGCGCCCCCCACCACUGCCGGCUAAUUUUCUGUAUUUUUAGUAGAGAUGGGGUUUCACCGUGUUAGCCAGGAUGAUCUCCAUCUCCUGACAUCGGGAUCCACCCACCUCAGCCUCCCAAAGUGCUGGGAUUACAGGCGUGAGCCACCACGCCUGGCAAUGAAGACUAAUUUUUAAACGUUGAGUGCUACCACGGAGACCAGCCUGUAACAUGAGUCACAGUGGAGACUUUCGGAACAUCUAGGAAACUUCAGAAGGGCUCUGAGCCCCUGGGUGGUACAGACAGUUGUCACCUUGGAUAACAUUGCCACAGUUCUUGCUGGUGACCAUUUCCCUUCAUUUCACUGAAACAAAAACAAAAACAAAAAACCCUCACAGGUGCCUUAGGCCUUUCCUUGAUUUUAAAACAUUAUUCUCUUUUCUGUAUUUAUAAAAAGCAAAAAAGACAGCAACUAGGUGUAUGUGCUAAAGUAGAAAAGAACACUUAAGGCCAGGAGCAGUGGCUCAUGCCUGUAAUCCCAGCACUUUGGGAGGCUGAGGUGGGCAGACUGCCUGAGGUCAGGAGUUCGAGACCAGCCUGACCAAUAUGGUGAAACCCUGUCUCUACUAAAAAUACAAAAACUAGCAGGGCGUGGUGGUGGGUACCUAUAAUCCCAGCUACUUGGGAGGCUGAGACAGGAGAAUCUGGGAGGCAGAGAUUGCAGUGAGCAGAGACCGGGCCAUUGCACUCUAGCCUGGGGAACAAGAGUGAAACUCCACCUCGAAAAAACAAAAAAUAAAAGGACCCUUAAACUAGAUAACAGUGGGGGUCAAGUAGUAACCCAAGGCUCUGAGUUCAGUAAGUAAAUAAAUCUAAUAUGAAUGCCCUCUCCUCUCACUCAUCUAUUAACUUGUAGAACAUUUCCUUCAUUACUGCAUCAGCGAUGAGCUUUAUGCUGUGAAAUUCUCAAAAUCUAAAGCUUAUGAAGUGGUCUCAAGGUCCAAAGCGCACUAAAAACUCAUUACUUACAAAAUGAUGCCAAGUAACUGUUUCAUCAUCUUUACCAUACCUUUACCAUAUUUGAGUGGCUAUGUGAAAUGGUCACAGGUUAGAAACACAUCAUCGUCCAAAAGUUAAAUAAUAUUUCACAGGUAAUCAUUUCAGUCACAGGAAGUGGAACCAGGAUUGAAGAGGGUGUUGAAUAAGCUACAAAAGUGGGUAUAGUAUACCUGGAGUCAUUACUAAGCAGAGUUCUCAGAUUUGAUCAAGGUUAAUUCAAUGAGAAAUGGAAUAUAGACAAUAGGCAACAAGAUUAGCAGGAAGCAGUCAGAUCAAGUAGCCAAUCAGGAAUUGAAAUCGGUCCUUGAAAAUGGAAAGGUGAUUGAAUUGAGGCAUACAAUGAGAUAUCAUUCUGUGGCUCUGGGAAAGUAAAAUUGGUUGGCAUGUUAACAUGGAAUAGGAUUUCUACAAGGCCGCUUAAAGAAUGUUUCCAUCCUCUGAGAACUGAAGGGAGUUCCAAAUAGGCAGUUUGUGACUGAUGAUGAGCAUGUUGAUGAUAAAGUCUCCUUUAUAUAACAGCCGGCAGACGACUUGGUCACGCCCACACAUUUUAAAUUCACAUAAAGGUAAAUAUAUGGUCAGGCGUGGUGGCCCACACCUGUAGUCUCAGCACUUUGGGAGGCGAAGGCGGGUGGAUCAUUUGAGGUCAGGAGUUCAAGACCAGUCUGGCCAACAUGGUGAAACUCUAUCUCUACUAAAAUACAAAAAUUAGCCAGGCAUGGUGGUGCAUGCCUGUGGUCCCAGCUACUCAGGAGGCUGAGGCAGGAGAAUCGCGUGAACCCGGGAGGCGGAGGUCGCAGUGAGCCAAGAUCGCACCACUGCCCUCCAGCCUAGGCAACAGAGACUCCGUCUCAAAAACAAGUCAAUAUAGCUGGGCAUGGUGGCUUGUACCUAGCUACUUAAGAGGCUGAGGCAGGAGGAUUGCUUGAGGUCAGGAUUUACAGACCAGCCUGGGCAACACAGGGAUAUUCUGUCUCUAAAAAAAUUUUAAAAAGUACCACCACCAUGCCCAGCUAAUUUUUUUUGUAUUUUUAGUAGAGACGGGGUCUCACCAUGUUAGCCAGGCUGGUCUCAAACUCCUCACCUCAGGUGAUCCACCCGCUUCAGCCUCCCAAAGUGCUGGGAUUACAGGCAUGAGCCACAGUGCCCGGCCCAGAACUUGCAUUUCUAACAAUUCCCAGGUUGUGCUGUUUGGGGAACCAUACUUUGAGAAACACUUCCCUAUAAUCUGAUAGGUUAUUUCCCCUAAGAUCCAGAUGAGUAAAAAUUAAUACACAUUAGAUGAAAUUCCAGAAGUUAUCUUCAAACUUUGCUACUCAUUGAAUGUCAUGAAGAUAUUGGAAAAAAAAGAAAAAAACAAAAAACAACCUUGCUACUCAACAAGGGAUUUGCUAUUAUCACAUUUCAGAGAAAUUCAGAACCUCAGGCCUAAACCCAGGCCUACUAAAUCAGGAUCUGCAGUUUCUCACAAUCUUCAGGUGAUUUCUAUGGUCAUUAAAGUUUGAAAAGCUGCCUCGAAACAGUCCUUCCUAAAACUGAAGUGGAGGUGCCACAAAAAUCAUCUGGCAAGUUUGAAAACCACUGCUUUAAAGAAAAUGGAUACUCCCCUUACCAAGCAGAAAGUAGGAUUUUGGAAACUGAUGCAAGGGAAGCAAA